UAUGGAUGAUGCAUUCGACCUA
rnacentral:siRNA from 1 species